rnacentral:rRNA from 1 species
GGUGACCUGCCUUUGAGUUUGGGAUAACUAUUAGAAAUGAUAGCUAAUACCGAAUUAAAUGCAGAUUCGUUUCUGUAUUAAAAGGAGCCUUUAAAGCUUCGCUUAAAGAUGGGCCUGCGGCGUAUUAGCUAGUUGGUGAGGUAAUGGCUUACCAAGGCGACGAUGCGUAGCCGAACUGAGAGGUUGAUCGGCCACAUUGGGACUGAGACACGGCCCAAACUCCUGCGGGAGACAGCAGUUAGGAAUAUUCGUCAAUGGGGGAAACCCUGAACGAGCAAUGCCGCGUGAACGAUGAAGGCCCUAUGGGUUGUAAAGUUCUGUUGCAUGGGACGAACGAUUAGGAUAGGAAAUGAUCUUAAUGUGACGGUACCAUGCCAGAAAGCUCCGGCUAACUACGUGCCAGCAGCCGCGGUAAUACGUAGGGAGCAAGCGUUAUCCGGAUUUAUUGGGCGUAAAGGGUGCGUAGGCGGUUUGUUAAGUAUGAGAUUAAAGCCCGAGGCUUAACCUCGGUUCGUUUCAUAAACUGGCAGGCUUGAGUGUGGCAGAGGUAAACGGAAUUUCUAGUGUAGCGGUUAAAUGCGUAGAUAUUAGAAGGAACACCAGUGGCGAAGGCGGUUUACUGGGCCAUAACUGACGCUGAGGCACGAA